rnacentral:rRNA from 16 species
ACUCUCAAAUCGCUGUGGAAACACCUGUGAAAAAAGCGUUCCAUUGAGGCAUGUUCGUCGAUCAAGAACUAGAGUGUGGGAGCAAAGAGGAUCAGGCACCAUUGUAAGCUUA